rnacentral:rRNA from 1 species
CCUACGGUGUGCAGCAGUGAGGAAUAUUGGUCAAUGGCCGUAAGGCUGAACCAGCCAAGUAGCGUGAGGGAAGACUGCCCUAUGGGUUGUAAACCUCUUUUAUGCGGGGAUAAAGGUGUCCACGUGUGGAUGUUUGCAGGUACCGCAUGAAUAAGGACCGGCUAAUUCCGUGCCAGCAGCCGCGGUAAUACGGAAGGUCCGGGCGUUAUCCGGAUUUAUUGGGUUUAAAGGGUGCGUAGGCGGACUGGAAAGUCAGCGGUAAAAUCGAGAGGCUCAACCUCUUUCCGCCGUUGAAACUGUCGGUCUUGAGUGGGCGAGAAGUAUGCGGAAUGCGUGGUGUAGCGGUGAAAUGCAUAGAUAUCACGCAGAACUCCGAUUGCGAAGGCAGCAUACCGGCGCCCGACUGACGCUGAGGCACGAAAGCGUGGGUAUCGAACAGGAUUAGAUACCCCUGUAGUC